AGAGUUUGAUCCUGGCUCAGAUUGAACGCUGGCGGCAUGCCUUACACAUGCAAGUCGAACGGUAACAGCACUUCAGUGGCUGACGAGUGGCGAACGGGUGAGUAAUACAUCGGAACGUGCCCGAGAGUGGGGGAUAACGCAGCGAAAGCUGUGCUAAUACCGCAUACGAUCUACGGAUGAAAGCAGGGGACCGCAAGGCCUUGCGCUCAUGGAGCGGCCGAUGGCAGAUUAGGUAGUUGGUGGGAUAAAAGCUUACCAAGCCGACGAUCUGUAGCUGGUCUGAGAGGACGACCAGCCACACUGGGACUGAGACACGGCCCAGACUCCUACGGGAGGCAGCAGUGGGGAAUUUUGGACAAUGGGCGAAAGCCUGACCCAGCGACGCCGCGUGCGGAUGAAGGCCUUCGGGUUGUAAACCGCUUCAGCAGGGAAGAAGC
rnacentral:rRNA from 1 species